rnacentral:rRNA from 1 species
AUUGAACGCUGGCGGCAGGCUUAACACAUGCAAGUCGAGCGAGCGGCGGACGGGUGAGUAAUGUCUGGGAAACUGCCUGAUGGCGGGGGAUAACUACUGGAAACGGUAGCUAAUACCGCAUACCAUCAGAUGUGCCCAGAUGUGAUUAGCUAGUAGGUGGGGUAAUGGCUCACCUAGGCGACGAUCCCUAGCUGGUCUGAGAGGAUGACCAGCCACAAUGGAACGGAGACACGGUCAAGACUCCUACGGGAGGAAGCAGUGGGGAAUAUUGGAAAAUGGGCGCAAGCCUGAUGAAGCCAGGCCGCGUGUGUGAAGAAGGCCUUCGGGUUGUAAAGCACUUUCAGCGAGGAGGCGUUACUCGAAGAAGAAGCACCGGCUAACUCCGUGCCAGCAGCCGCGGUAAUUC